GUAAAUUAUUUUAUUUUAUCUUGUUCAUUGGGUUUGUGUCACCCACUUACUUAUUUGGCACCGAUUCAGAAGUUCUGGAAAUUGCAUGGUUUGGCACCGAUUCAGAAGUUCUGGAAAUUGCAUGGUCCGGUAUCUUGGUUCAGGAUGCUGUUGGAAGCACUAUUUCUUGGCCAACCCAUUUCAUUAGAUUUGACUAUGAGUAGAAAUCCUAACAUCUAUGGAUAGUUUUUGAGGACUUUAAUGAAUAGAUUCCUAUAAUCUUUGAAUAGUUUUGGCUAAUGUUUACAAACUCGUAUAUGUACCAUUUUGGAUGGUUUAUAACUUUUUGGAUAAUUUAAACUUAAGAAUAGUCCUUUUGGAUGGUUUUGAA